rnacentral:rRNA from 1 species
GACGAACGCUGGCGGCGUGCUUAACACAUGCAAGUCGAACGAAGUGGCGAACGGGUGAGUAACGCGUAAUCAACCUGCCCUUCAGAGGGGGACAACAGUGGGAAACGACUGCUAAUACCGCAUACGGAAGAGGGAGAUUGAGUCUGAUUAGCUAGUUGGGGGGGUAACGGCCCACCAAGGCGAUGGUCAGCAGCCGGGCUGAGAGGAUGAACGGCCACAAUGGGACUGAGACAAGGCCCAGACCCCUACGGGAGGGAGGCGUGGGGAAUCUUCCGCAAUGGAGGAAAGUCUGACGAAGCAAAGCCGCGUGAGUGAUGACGGCCUUCGGGUUGUAAAGCUCUGUUAAUCGGGACGCGGUACCGGAAUAGAAAGCCACGGCUAACUACGUGCCAGCAGCCGCGGUAAUAC